rnacentral:rRNA from 1 species
UCCCGCCGAAGCGAGACGACCUGGCGAGUGCUUUGUUCAGCCGACCCUCAGACAGGCGUGGCUCCCGGA